rnacentral:misc_RNA from 1 species
AAUUGUUUUAGGUUUAAGAAAAGAAACAAAAUUCUGGUUUUAUCAAUUUAUUUCACACCUUUUUAAUACCAUAUACAUUAUUUUCAAUGCAUGUCAUUUAUUAAGUAUACAAAAGUUUAGUAUACAUCAGUACGUUUUGAUAGAGUGUUUUAAAUUUUGAAAAAAGGUGCUUAAAUAUUAUGUUUUUAAUUCAUGUUUAUACAGUUUACUUUGAUAUGAAUUUUUUUUUGAUUGUAAAAACUAAAACUGAUGAGUUUUAUUGAAGUUUGAAUAAAAAAAAUUAUUCUCCAUAAAAUCAAUAAAGUGAUUGUUUUGU